CGUACGGUGCGACACGUGUGCANCUGCCUUUAUCUGGGGAUAGCUUCGAAGGAGAUAUACCCAUAUAUGUUGAUUGGCUCAUNCGACUUGAAACUCGGUGGAUAAAGAUGGGCACGCGCAAGAAUUUAGAAUUAAGUUUGGUGAGGUACGGUCACCAGUCUAGAUCUUAGGGGGCUGAGAGGNUGAUCCCCCACACUGUUACUGAAACCGGACCAAACUCCUACGGAGGCAGCAGUGAGGAAUAUGGGACAAUGGGUGAGAGCCUGAAUCCAGCCAUCCCGCGUGAAAGGACGAUUGCCCUAUGGGUUGUAAACUUCUUUGGUAUAGGGAUAAACCUACCCUCGUGAGGGUAGCUGAAGGUACUAUACGAAUAAGCACCGGCUAACUCCGUGCCAGCAGCCGGGUAAUACGGAGGGUGCAAGCGUUAUCCGGAUUUAUUGGGUUUAAAGGGUCCGUAGGCGGAUCUGUAAGUCAGUGGUGAAAUCUCACAGUUUAACUGUGGAAACUGCCAUUGAUACUGGAGGUCUUGAGUUGUUGUUGAAAGUACUGGAAAUAAGUAGUGUACGGUGGAAAUGCUUAAUUUUACUCAAACACCAAUUG
rnacentral:rRNA from 1 species